rnacentral:rRNA from 1 species
AUGGGCUUUAUUAUACACUUUUAUAUUAUUUUUGGAACUAACCUAUUAACCCAAGGCCCGGUGCAAAUUGCUGUUUUUUGCCUAUUUCAGUGUUUCGCAGAAAAGGAAUAUCAAACGGAGUCCAAACGGAAUGAAACCUUCGGGAGCGUGAUUUUUAGAACAAACAUGAUCCAGGAGACUUGGAGUGGACGUCAAGAAACGAACGAGGAGGCCACGAGGCAGGGGGUGCGCCUACCCCCCUGGGCGCGCCCUCCACCCUCAUGGGCCCUCGUGGCUCCACCGACCUACUUCUUCCUCCUACAUAUACCUACGUACCCCGAAACUAUCGAGGAGCACCACGAAACCCUAUUUCCACCGCCGCAACCUUCUGUACCCGUGAGAUCCCAUCUUGGGGCCUUUUCUGGCGCUCCGCCGGAGGGGGCAUCGAUCACGGAGGGCUUGUACAUCAACACCAUGGCCUCUCCGAUGAUGUGUGAGUAG